rnacentral:rRNA from 1 species
UACGUAGGGUGCGAGCGUUAAUCGGAAUUACUGGGCGUAAAGCGUGCGCAGGCGGUGAGCUGAGUCCGAUGUGAAAUCCCCGGGCUUAACCUGGGAAUGGCAUUUGGGACUGCAAGGCUGGAGUGUGGCAGAGGAGACUGGAAUUCCUGGUGUAGCAGUGAAAUGCGUAGAUAUCAGGAGGAAUACCGAUGGCGAAGGCAGGUCUCUGGGCUGACACUGACGCUCAUGCACGAAAGCGUGGGGAGCAAACAGG